CCUUAAUCCUCUUCAGUUUCCCCUUUAUUAUCUAACAAAGAUAUACAUGGCUAAAGUCGCCACCUUUUUCAUCUUAACCCUUCUCCUCGUUUCUACUGUAUCCUUUGCCGCUCGCUUUGGCCCUGCUUCGCCUAGCCAGCCCCAAGCUGAGGUUAUGAUGGUGUUGAAGAUAGCUGUGAUGGAGUUGGAGAAGAUGAGUGUCUGAUGAGAAGAACUCUUGCCGCUCAUGUCGAUUAUAUCUAUACUCAGAAGCACAAGCCAUGAUAAUUUUUCUCUUGUUUUAAGUUUUAAACUAUGAAAUUAUUGUCCCUGUUAAUUAUUAUAUAUGAUAUAGUUAUAUAUCAUAUUCUUCUUGAUUA